rnacentral:rRNA from 1 species
AUGACUAUGGCCGUGGCCAGCCUGCCGUUCUUGGCCUCGCUGCUCAUCCUCCUCCCUCACCAUGUGGUGGACGCCGAGUGCGAGCCGGUGGCGUGCGGGAACUUCACCAUCAGGUACCCGUUCUGGCUCGGCGCGCCCAGCCGGCCCACGCCGGAGCCCUCCUGCGGCCACCCGGCCUUCGAGCUCUGGUGCGGCGGCAGCAGCAACACCUCGGCUUCCAUGCGUGGCUCCGCCAUCCAGGUCCUCGGCAUCGACUACGGCGCCAGCUCCCUCGUCGCGUCUCACAGCAGAUUCUCGGCGCGGGAGGACGGCGUGUGCCGCGCCGACUUCAACAUGUCGUCCAGCCUGGCCCUCAGCCCGUUCAACAUCAGCCCCAGCAACAUGGCCUUUUGCCUCCUCUUCGACUGCAAGAACGGGACGGAGCCACGGGGACGCGGCUACGUGAACGCGACGGGCGGCUGCGACAAACCCAUCGUGGCGUACCUCGGGGGGAGCUACGACCGGGACACGCCGCCGGCGAUCCGGACGGGUGACUGCACGUACACGUACCUGCCUGUGCUCGGGACGGAGGCGGCGGUGUCCACGGCGGCCAACUACAGCCGGCUGCUCAAGGCCGGGUUCCUCCUGGACUGGGCGGGCACCGGCGGCAUCGGCGACUGCCCCGCCUGCGUCGCCAGCGGGGGCCAGUGCCGGUACAGGAACGCGAUCGGGGCGCUCGCCUGCCUCUGCCCCGGCGGGGAGCUUCGCGGCCCGACAUGCGCCGGGGACAGUGGAAAGACAAGUAUAACGUUCAUAAUAGUUGGAGCGGUAGCCGGUUUUGCUGCGUUCUUGGCAUUUGUCUUGUUUGCCUUAUACCAACGAAAGAAGAGCAAACAAGCUGUAGCUUCAAAUGAGUUCAUGCGAAGUGGAUCUUCAAUGACGUCAUAUAGUAAAGACCUUGAGAUGGGUGGUUCACCUCAUAUCUUCACUUUCGAGGAACUCGAAGUGGCCACUGAUGGAUUUAGUGCUUCAAGGGAGCUUGGUGAUGGUGGCUUUGGAACUGUUUAUAAAGGCAAACUCAAGGAUGGGAGAGUAGUUGCGGUGAAACGCCUUUACAAGAACAACUACAGACGGGUUGAGCAGUUCCUGAACGAGGUAGACAUCCUGUCACGCCUGCUCCAUCAGAACCUUGUCAUCCUAUAUGGCUGCACGUCGCGAAUGAGCCGUGACCUUCUCCUGGUGUACGAGUUCGUCGCAAAUGGGACGGUCGCGGACCAUCUUCAUGGAUCCAGUGCGGCCGAACGAGGCCUCACAUGGCCUCUAAGGCUGAAUAUUGCUAUAGAAACGGCUGAAGCACUGGCCUACCUCCAUGCGGUGGAGAUCAUACAUCGUGAUGUGAAGACAACCAACAUAUUGCUGGACAACAGCUUUCAUGUCAAAGUUGCAGACUUCGGGUUGUCGCGCCUGUUCCCGCUCGAGGUCACCCAUGUCUCAACUGUUCCACAGGGCACACCGGGCUAUGUUGACCCCGUGUACCACCAGUGCUACAAGCUGACCGACAAGAGCGAUGUCUACAGCUUCGGUGUCGUGCUGGUGGAGCUGAUAUCCUCAAAGCCUGCUGUGGACAUGAGCAGAAGCCACAGUGAGAUCAACCUGGCUAACAUGGCUCUCAACAGGAUUCAGAACCAUGAAGUUGUUCAGUUGGUUGAUCCGGAGCUCGGCUACGACACCGACCCCGAAACAAAGAGAACGAUUGACCUAGUGGCCGAGGUGGCCUUCCAGUGCCUGCAGAUGGAGAGGGAUCUGAGGCCGUCGAUCAAGGAGGUGGUGGAGAUCCUGACUUGCGUCAGGGACGGAGACUGUCGGGCUAAGAGCAUGAAAAAGAAGGCGUCUCAGAAAGAGGAUGCGCACUUGCUCAUGGAUGACGUGCAGUUUUCGCCUGACACGGUCAUCCAUAGAUUCCAUAGCCGGUCAACUAACCACUCGGUAGCAUCGAAUGCUAGCGGGUUAUGA